UACGUAGGUCCCGAGCGUUGUCCGGAUUUAUUGGGCGUAAAGCGAGCGCAGGUGGUUUAAUAAGUCUGAUGUAAAAGGCAGUGGCUCAACCAUUGUGUGCAUUGGAAACUGUUAGACUUGAGUGCAGUAGAGGAGAGUGGAAUUCCAUGUGUAGCGGUGAAAUGCGCAGAUAUCAGGAGGAACACCGAUGGCGAAGGCAGGUCUCUGGACUGUCACUGACACUGAGGCUCGAAAGCGUGGGUAGCAAACAGG
rnacentral:rRNA from 1 species